rnacentral:rRNA from 1 species
AUCAACGCUGGCGGCGUGCCUCAGACAUGCAAGUCGAACGAUUAAAGCUCUCUUCGGAGAGUGCAUAGAGUGGCGCACGGGUGAGUAACACGUAAGUAAUCUACCCUCGAGUGGGGAAUAACGUCCGGAAACGGACGCUAAUACCGCAUAAUGCAGCGGCACCGCAAGGUGACAGUUGUUAAAGAUUUAUCGCUUGGGGAGGAGCUUGCGGCAGAUUAGCUAGUUGGUAAGGUAAUGGCUUACCAAGGCUACGAUCUGUAACCGGUCUAAGAGGACGGUCGGUCACACUGACACUGAAUAACGGGUCAGACUCCUACGGGAGGCAGCAGUCGGGAAUUUUGGGCAAUGGGCGAAAGCCUGACCCAGCAACGCCGCGUGAAGGAUGAAGUAUUUCGGUAUGUAAACUUCGAAAGAAUAGGAAGAAUUAAUGACGGUACUAUUUAUAGGGUCCGGCUAACUACGU